AACGCGAAGAACCUUACCCAGAUUUGACAUGCAGGUGACGAACACAGAAAUGUGUUUUCCCUUCGGGGCGCCUGCACAGGUGCUGCAUGGCUGUCGUCAGCUCGUGCCGUGAGGUGUUGGGUUAAGUCCCGCAACGAGCGCAACCCUUAUCAUUAGUUGCCAUCACUUCGGGUGGGCACUCUAAUGAGACUGCCUGGGUUAACCAGGAGGAAGGUGAGGAUGACGUCAAGUCCGCAUGGCCCUUACAUCUGGGGCUACACACGUACUACAAUGGUCGGUACAGAAGGCAGCUAAGCCGUGAGGUAGAGCAAAUCCUAGAAAACCGAUCCCAGUUCAGAUUGUAGUCUGCAACUCGACUACAUGAAGUUGGAAUUGCUAGUAAUGGCGAGUCAGCAACAUCGCCGUGAAUACGUUCCCGGGCUUGUACACACCGCACGA
rnacentral:rRNA from 1 species